AGCUGUAGAAAUACGGCCUUCCCGCAAGGGACCUGAGUAUAGGCGCUGCAUGGCUGUCGUCAGCUCGUGCCGUGAGGUGUUGGGUUAAGUCCCGCAACGAGCGCAACCCUGCACACAGUUACUACUCGCAAGAGAGGACUCUGUGUGGACUGCUCCGGAUAACGGAGAGGAAGGUGGGGAUGACGUCAAGUCCGCAUGGCCUUUAUGUCCAGGGCUACACACGUGUUACAAUGCAGGGCACAAACCGUUGCCAACCCGCGAGGGGGAGCUAAUCGGAAAAAACCCUGCUCAGUUCGGAUUGCAGUCUGCAACUCGACUGCAUGAAGCCGGAAUCGCUAGUAAUGGCGUAUCAGAUCGACGCCGUGAAUACGUUCCCGGGCCUUGUACACACCGCCCGUCACAUCACGAAAGUGAGUUGUACUAGAAGUCGCCGCGCGAACCGCAAGGACGCAAGCGCCCAAGGUAUGACUCAUGAUUGGGGUGAAGUCGUAACAAGGUAGGCGUAGUGCU
rnacentral:rRNA from 1 species